GAGCCACAGUACACCGCACCGUAUCUGCCACGCCCAAUCAGCUGAAAGAGGUGGUGUGGAUGGGAAACGGAAAGACUAUUAAUAGACUUCUUUGGCAUUCUAGACCUUUAGCACUCUGAUAACUUUGUUUGUGCUGCUUUAAAUGCCUUGUCACAGAAAUGACAAGACGCAGGAAGAUUACUUGACAAAUACAAAAGAUGCCGAAAACAGAAACACAAGAAAACGCUACGACGAGUGCAAACAAUACAGUCACUCAGGCAGGCAGAGGAGAGAUAGGAAAUAAAUCAAAUGAAAGGCAAACAGCAGAGUUAAACAGCUAGAAUGGUCCUAGGUUCGUUCCAAAUCAUCCAAUUGGUGUCCUGAAUUAACCAGAGCACAGGAUGCCAUUAAGGUCCAAACAUUCUGUCUGAAAGAGUCAUCUGCAUGGCAUUAGAGAAAUUAAUUCUGGACUGCAUUUAUUUCGAUGCAGUUUCCCUCUCCAGUAUUUAUCUGUGGCUAUAAAACAUUCUGUGGAAAACAAUGAACCCUGUUUUGUCUAUGAGAGAACCUUCCCUGGCUUACCACCCCUCCCCACAGGCACGGAGUUUAUUGUGAAAAAACAAGUGCCUGCAUUUGAUAAGGCGCAAGGACAGCGUUCAAUAUUCAAUUUCUGCUUGAUCUCUGUGGGCUGGAAAGCACUAAACGGGGGUCAAAAGGGGGGAAACGCAACUGCACCUGUGUAGCUCAGUAACUCUGCUCAGCGCUGAUUGGCUGGCUGUCUUUCUGUCCUGUCAAAACACACGGCAGAAACUGAAUUUUCUGAGGGAGGUGACGUUUUAACGCAGAAGACAUCAAUCACUCUGUUGGCUUUUUUACCCAAUUUACUAGAAAUCUCUACAAAUCAUUUGAAUAGUCAUAAUGUAGUGUUUAUUUUCCCUCUGAGUCGGUUACCGGCACUGGUUUCAUCUCUUGCAGAGACUCGUUUAAGUCAGACACAGUGCCUGGUUGUGAUUUUAUUAUUGUAUGACAAGGCAAGGGAAAGCAAGGAUGCCUUUGAUGAAAGCAAAAACACCAGCAUGAUCACUUUAACGAAACCACAUGGAGCCUGCUUAUGUAUUUAUUUUUUUGCUUUUUUACCAUUUUUUAAAGGAAAUUUCUGUAUUAUCUUAUGCUACAGUUGCCAGCUUUACUUAGCAAACUUGAAUUGGAAAAUAAGAUCUUUGUCAAGCAGCAAAAUCAACGCUGAAGCAUGUUAGAUGUUUGUGAUGACUGAGUGGUGAAUUAAAGUACUUGAUUAUAAAUAGAAAAAAAAUACACAAGAGCAGAGGCACAUCAUCCUUUUGCACCACUUCUGAGGUCGCACGCUUUCAAAAUAUUGCCACUACCAGAGUAGUGUUUGUUAUUUCAUGCUGCGUUCUGAUUGGUUGGCUCGUACAGCUGGGUCACAGCAGCUUUCAAUUUAAUUUAUUUCAACCUCUGCUGCUACGUUUGGUCGCAAACCUCCAAGCUGGCCAUCGGUGAGCGUGUCUUAGUGUGAUCUAAGAGCAUCUUUUUAGAUCAGGGGCGUCAAACUCAUCUUAGUUCAGGUUCCACAUUCAGCCCAAUUUGAUCUCAAGUGAACCGGACCAGUAAAAUCACAGCAUCAAAACCUAUAAAUAACCACAACUAAAAAUUUUUUCCUUUGCUUUAGUGCAAAAAGUAUGCUUUGAAAAUGUUCACAUUUAAGGAAUGAUCUUUGUAUAAAAUAUUAUGAACAACCUGAAAUUUCUCAAGAAAAAUAAAUUAAAUUUCAACAAUAUUCAGCCUCUUACACAUUACAACUUCCAGAUAACAGAGUGUCUACAAAAGAACACAACAUUUAAUCACAGGUAUCUGGAACUGAAUGAUAUAGUAUUGUAGUUUCUGAUCAAAACAACAAAAGUCAGACAAAAAACAAGACAAAAUAUUACAAAAAUGAGACACAAAGCACCAAAAAAGACACAAAACAACAAAAAAACAAUGAAUAAAGCGAAAUACAAAAUGACAAAAAUAAGACAAAAAACACAAGCGCGACAAAAAGGAAACACAAAACGACAAAAAUGAGAAAACGACAAAAACAUGAGACAAACGACCAAAGUCAGACAAAAAACAAGACAAAAAAACAGCAAACACAUGACAAAAACGAGGCACAAAAGAACAAUGAACAAUCCAGGAUUUUACUUUAUAAUCAAAACAACUUGUCAUGGUCUAGAAAUUAUUUUGAAUUUACAGUUUUACAAAUUUACAGUUAAUGUCUUCUCUGUCAUUUUUGCGUUUAUGAAGUCGUCCCGCUUGCCAGAUUUGACCCUCUGGAGGGCCGGUUUUAGCCCGUGGGCCUCAUGUUUGACACCUCUGUUUUAGCUCGACAACCACAGAUUUUCAUUGUAGUCGCUUUUUAUCUCAAGCAACCCAAAAUUAAACAGUGUAAAGUGGUCUUUACCAGAGAAAUGUAACCAAUGUAAGCACAUUUAAAAAAGGUAGCAAUGCUGAAAAAGCAAAUCAUUUUUGUAAUAUGUGUUUACCUCAAAAAGCAUUGAGUAAUACUGAAAAUAAACUGGCAGUUUUCUAGUUGGUUAACAAAAUGGCGGGCUUGGUUUAUCUGGAAAGCUUCAGGAGGCUCAUGCUGGUUAGAUAGCAUGUGUCAUAGUCAGAACAGGCACGAUUCCAAGAAUACCAAUCAGGCUGAAACACACCAGAUUUUUCCUGUAUAUGUUAAUUCGGUGAAUCAGCUUGUAAAUGGACCAAAAAUGCCCUGUUUUGCUGUGGAAAUUUGGGCUAUUUAAGCAUGCUGAAAAUGCGAGCUUGUAAUAAAAAACAGAACAGGAUGGUUUCCAGAAGUUACACCGAGCUGCCCUCUUGCCGUCCUCCCUCCCAUGGCCAGCUCAUUUAAAUCAGUUGCUGCAUUCAUUUGACUUUCAGCCCCCCCUGCUUAUAUUGUCAUUGCAGCUGAAUAUCAUCCCAACUCCAUUGACUUCCUAUCACAAUAUUAGCUCUCGCUUUUCCAUAUCGAGUUCUCCGGAUCCUGUGUCAGUGUGAGCAAAUUCCUAUUUUCGUACGCCCAGGCCUGUCACUUAAUGCGUCCUGCCGUGAUCGGAUGAUAAAAGUCACAUUGAAACGACAAAUGUAACAGGAAACCUUGAUGUAUUUUUGGUGUGUUUUUGCCUCUUUGCCUUUGGUUUCUCCUUUCUCUUUCUAGCUCUCAUUUUCCUUUCUCCUGAGUGUAGAUGCUGAACUGGGUAGAGCGUUACAUGUCUGUUCUAAAGACUUAAACUUUCAUUUUCUAUACACAGUACAACUUUCAAAUCACAGCGUCGACAAAGGAACACCAUUUCGUCACAGGUAUCUGGAACUGAACGAUACAGAAUUUUACUUUUAUGAUCAAAACAACAAAGUCAGACCAAAAAAAAAGACAAAAAACAAAAACAAGACAAAAUAUUAUAAAAACGAGAUAUAAAGCGAAAAAAAUGGACAAACGACACAAGUGAGACAAAAGAAGACACAAAGCAACAAAAAACAAUGAAUAAAGCAAAACACAAAAUGACAAAAAUAAGACAAAAAAACACAAGCGAGACAAAAAGGAAAGAAGAAAACAAAAAUGAGAAACAAAACAACAAAAACAUAAGACAAAUGACAAGUCUGACAAAAAAACAUGACAAAAAAACAACAAGAACAAGACAAAAAAUGACAGAAAUGAGGCACAAAGUGACAAAGAAUGGACAAAUGACAAAAAUGAGACAAAAAAAUACAAAUAAAGUGAAACACAAAAGGACAAAAAUAAGACAAAAAACACAAGCGAGGCAAAAAGGAAACACAAAAUGACAAAAACGAGAAACAAAACAACAAAAACAUGAAACACAGGCCAGUGUUAAUCCACAGGAUGUUAAGAAUGAAAGAUGCAGAACCAUAGUUUUGCGAGGCCAUAAUGAUAUUUCCACAUAUAUCCCCAGCAUUACUAUUACAACUGAAAUAAUAUGCUGGCGUGGAAGUGCGGGAAACAAAUUAAUUGAAUUUAUAAACAGAUCAGUUCAGCUCAAAACUAAAAAUAUUACAAGUUGGAUGUAGUGCAGGGACAGAGACAGAAGGCCAGACGGUGUGAUGUUGGCACUGACCUCCAGCAGUUUGAGAUUGUCUAGGUCCAGGGAGCUCUCAGAGCCAGCAGCCUCCAUCAUAUUGAGGUUGUGAAGGCCUUGCUUACCGUCUCCUGUUAAUACAGACAAACACACAGAGUAUUCACACUUUGGGAAAACUAAAGACAUGCAGAUGCAUCCGUACAAAAGAUCAGCUCCGAUUCCAUUCAUGCAAUUAACUGAAAUUCUACCCAAAAAAACAUCUAAACAGCCUUGAAUAGUAAAUGCUGAAAAACGCUGCUUUUCCCCCUACAGUUAGGCGCCAUGGUAACUCACCGUGCAUCAUGCGGUAACCAAAGAAGGCUGCUACAGCGACCACGGCCAGCACAGAGACUGUUGCCAGGGUGAUAAUUACCGUCUCUUCAUGCCGCAGUGGGCGAGGGUCUACAAGCAGAAACAUCAUAAAAGCACAAAUCAAGCAGAUAGCUGCCCUCCCUGAUCGUAGUUCGACUGGACGUCUCUUCCAGUUAAAAUCAUCUGUCUACGCGGUGGAACAGUCGCUGGCACGCCCGCAGACAGAGCAGACGCUGUGUAAUCCAUGGAAUGCAGAGAGACGAUGUGGAUGGUAGGGAGCGUGUGUUUGUGUUUAUGUGUAGGCAGGAGACGUGAUGAGCUGUCGUCCCUCCCACUCCACCCCACCACACACGCUGCAUUCGCUCAUAGCCAGCGCCAGAGAGGAAGGAACAAUUAACAACACAUCUGUCUGCUUUCUUUCUGUGACACCUUACCGAGAACUCACUACCAGCUAAGACCACGGAGGGCAUUUGUACAGACUGAAUUCAACCACUUUCACAUCCCCGUAGAGGAGAUAAUGUACACGAGCUCUGAUGAAAACCAAUUCAUCUCUGCAAUUCAGUCGUCAAGGUUCCUGUUAGAUGGCGAUCAGGAAGCUCAGUUCUAACUUCUUGUGGCUCAAUGAUGCCAUGGAGGAGGAGGAGAGAGAGAGAGAGAGUAGGUGUGGGUAUGACAGAUGAUAUCAAACAUUCUUUCAAUCUUCUCUCUUCAGCUUUGUGUUUCACUGUGUAGGCCUUUAUUCAUUUUCCACCUUCAUUUCUCUCUCUGUUAUUUUUCCUCCAUUUAUCCCCUUCUGCCUAAUGCACCUAGUUGUAUAACAGAUGAUUACAACUGUAGCGGAGAUGUUAGAAAUUGAGAGUCCAUUUUUAAGACUCAGAAGAGGUAAAAUUAAUACAAAUCCAUGGAGGAUACUCAGUUCUGGAAGAAAUGACUGCC